GAACAAGCACAUGCCACAGUAGGCAGGUAGACCCAGAGACUCUGAUUUAAGGGUUCACUGUACUACUUCACUGCACCAGUCUUGAACAGCUUUGCCAACAGAAGUGUGUCAAGGCUUCAUUUGUAGUGCUCAGUGACGAUUCUAGAUGUCUGACCUAACAGAAAUAGGACAUGGCACCCAGAGGAUGACUAGGAGAGACUUUGUCUCUGGAUGUCUGGAGGAAUAACAGAGUGUCCCGCAGUGCCUGAAAAUAAAUAGUUUUCAAUAGUAUGCCCAUUGCCUGCGACUAUGAAGGUACCCAGCAACUUUAGGCACUUAAAUGAACAUACAUAGGUUCACACCUGCAGACUCUCAGAUAUAACUGCGUGAGAUUUUUGCAG
rnacentral:lncRNA from 1 species